rnacentral:rRNA from 1 species
GUAGCUGGCUGGACAAGUCCCCUGUUAAAACCAGCGAUCUAAUCGUUGGAUUGCGGGGGAUACUGCCCGGCUAGGGGGCGGGAGAGGCCGACGGUAUUCCCGGGGUAGGGGUGAAAUCUUAUAAUCCCGGGAGGACCACCAGUGGCGAAGGCUGUCGGCUGGAACGCGCCCGACGGUGAGGGAUGAAAGCUGGGGGAGCGAACCGGAUUAGAUACCCGGGUAGUCCCAGCUGUAAACGAUGCAGGCUAGGUGUCAGUGCGGCUACGUGCCGCUCUGGUGCCGCAGGAAAGCUGUUAAGCCUGCCGCCUGGGGAGUACGGCCGCAAGGCUGAAACUUAAAGGAAUUGGCGGGGGAGCACCACAAGGGGUGAAGCUUGCGGUUUAAUUGGAGUCAACGCCGGAAACCUUACCGGGAGCGACAGCAGAAUGAAGGCCAGACUGAAGGUCUUGCUAGACAAGCUGAGAGGAGGUGCAUGGCCGUCGCCAGUUCGUGCCGUGAGGUGUCCUGUUAAGUCAGGCAACGAUCGAGACCCGCGUCCCCCGUUGCAAUUGGCCUUGAGCCAAGCACACUGGGGAGACCGCCGCUGAUAAAGCGGAGGAAGGAGCGGGCCACGGCAGGUCAGUAUGCCCCGAAUCUCCCGGGCCACACGCGAGCUGCAAUGGCAGGUACAAUGGGUUCCGACCUCGAAAGGGGAAGGCAAUCUCGAAAGCCUGCCGUAGUUGGGAUCGAGGGUUGUAACUCACCCUCGUGAACAUGGAAUCC